rnacentral:lncRNA from 1 species
UUCUGGGGAUUGAAGUCUAAGGUUCAAAAUCUCCAUUUUACAUAUCAUGGUGGACAGCCUUUUUCUUCCCGAGUCUCUUGGAGUUGUCCAGGUUCCUUGCAUUGCUGAUAAAUGUUCAGGCAUCCGCAGUUGGUCCUCAUACAUUAUUGCUAUUAGUAUGGAUAACGUUCUCCUGUUACAGAGUACUCUGAAAAUGAGGCUUUACGAGAACUGGGAAACAGCUAACAAGCAAAUAAAAGCACAAGGAAUGUGUGCGGCAUGCAUGUAGACACGACUAAGAACGCGGUUCCUGUGAACUUGGACAUCCAACUUCAACAAAAGCAGCUAUGUGCCUACCCCCUUGUUGAGCAGACAGAUAUAUGAUUGUGGGAUUUGAGCAGAGAUAACGAGAAAAGGAGGUAAAAUGUGAAAAUGAUUGGCGAAGAAAAAGAAGCUUGAAGUGGAGUGCUGGGGUGGGAUGAAGAAGACCUAAAUAAAAGCUGAGAAAAAGGGAUCCA